rnacentral:lncRNA from 1 species
AUGAACUGAAUUCAUAACUCAAAACAUAUACAAAACACAAAGCUUUUCUGGAGAGAAAAUCCUUCAAAGUGUAAGCCAUUUGAAACAAUGGCUGGAAGCAGAGAGCAUGAGAUAUACGCAAUACGACGAUGGAUGUACAAUCAUAGAGAUCCGGUGACUGGUGAUGUGACGAGAGAAUUUUGUGAUGAUUUACGGGGGUUCAUUUACCAAGCAACAAACCAACCUUUUGCUCGUGACAACCUUAUGCUCUUUAAUGGUUGUUAUCCUCUGUGUAAUUUUGAAGGAAGAAGACAACUGAUUAAGUUAAACAUAUGUUGGGCUUUAUGGGCUGAUUGGAUAAUUCGUUAACCCUUUUAGUCGAUAUAGAACGGUCGGUCCUCGAUGACAAAAAAAAAAAAAAAAAAAAGAACGGUCAGUCCUCAAAGAUUUAUCAAACAAAAUUAAUGCUUUUAGUUUCGUUCUCAUUUACUAUGUGACUUUCAACAUGUAUGUUUGAUUUUUAAGUAUAAAAG